GGCUCCGUAGCUCAGCGGUAGAGCGCCGCUCUCAUGAGGCGGAGGCCGGGAGGUCAGCACUCCCCGGAGCCA
rnacentral:tRNA from 1 species